UAAAGUGAAAAAGCUACAUUCAAAUGGCACAGGUUCAAAUGGCUCUGCUAAAGUUUAUCUUUGUACUUGCAAUUGGAGUUCUCCUUUUCUCUCAUGGUACGUAAACACAAAGCAGAAAUUUAGUCUUCCAAUAAUUAUUCACUCGUGUAUAAUAUGUUAAAUUGUAUAAAUCUUUAAAGGUAAAUUAUACCAAUAAUCUAUAAGUUUUAGUGAUAUCAUACAAGUUAAAUUUUAUCUACACAAACCACCUUUUAUUUAUAUACAUAUAUUAUAUUAAUUAUCACUGUAAAAGAUAUAAGUAUGAUCUUUUUAAUCAAAAAACAUGCAAUGAGUGUAAUUAAGUUAAAUAAAAUAUAGUAUAUUGUAGAGACAAAUCCAAAUAAUAUAAGAAUCAAUGUCUAUUCAUUAUUUUUGAUUGGUUAUAAAAUAAAUCAAUAUGAGAAAAUGUUGUUCAAAUUAUUCUUAUACUAUGUUGUUAUGAUUAAAAAAAUAAUGAAGAGACAUUGAUUGUUAUACUAUUUGAAUUUGUCUUUGCAAUAUAUCAUGUUUUGUUUAACUUAGUUACACUUAUUAUUCAUUUUUGUUUAAAAGAUUAUACUUAUCUCUCCAGUAUAAGUAUACAUUGUUUGUAAUUAUACAUAUAAAUUAUGGUGGUUUGUAUAAGGGCAAAAAAUGAGGUUAUUUAUUUUUUAAUUUAUUAAAAUUCAGGAGUAUAAGUAUAAUUUACUUAAAUCUAUAUAGACAAUAUACAGAUGUUAUUUUCUUUAUCAUUAUUAUAUUAUUAUGUUUUGUUAAGAAUUUGAAAUAUGAAUGCAUGCAGUGAAUGGCUUGUUUUGUAAUGGACAAUGUGGAAAGGACCAUCCUGAUUGCGAUACAUUCUGCAAGAGUGCUGGAUAUCGAAAAGGAAUUUGCCAAGAUAUAACUGCUAAGCCUGG
rnacentral:lncRNA from 1 species